rnacentral:sRNA from 2 species
AGCAUCCGCAGUACCGACACCCUUAUUCGCAUAAACAUAGAAUUGCCGUUUUCUGCUCAUCGACCAUGCAUUCACACAAUUCCACAGAAUGGGCAAUAAUGGCAAGUGGAAGCAAGUGGAAGCAAUAGUUCCUACCAAACGUUCACAUCCCGAUGGAUAAAAGAAUUCCCCCGCUGCAACCUCACUCAUAUCCACUCCCCGGCGGCUGAGCAAUCGUCACCGCCAAUCCCGCCUCUUCGAGAACCGCCCUUGUCCGCUCCCACGGCACUCCAAAAAGACCCGCAUUCAAUCUGCAUCCCCAUAAUUCGCCGAGCUGUUCUUCUUCACAACCCCCAGUCGCAGCCAGCGCUGUGGUGGUGGUGGUGGUAGUGGCAGGAGAAGUAGUAGAACUCGCAGCGGCAGCAGCGGCAAUCUGCCUUUUCAAAUCCGCCAUGGCUGACAUCGUAUUUUCGAGAAUGAUAUCGGGCGGGCUCCGACUCCACCGCCCAUAGUGCCACGAUGUAAAUAGGCAGAUGAUCCAAUGCUUCUUCCCUGCUGGCCUCGGCAGUGCCGUCAGUCCCCUGGAGCCGCGUAAUGCCCCGCCGCCAGCUCGUCCACGUCCACGUCCACGUCCGCGCCCGCGAUUUGAUAGCGGUGCUGUUUGGGGCUGUGGCUGUAGCUGUGGCUGGUAGUCCGCUGGCUGCGGUGGAAUUAUCAACGCCGUCCCCUCGGGCAGCUUGAGAGCGCGUGGCUGCUGGCGACUUGGGUCUGUGCUCGGGACGCGGACGGGGAUGGGGCGUGUCUCUGUCUCUGUCUGUGUCUGCGUCCAUGUCUGAGGGUGGGAGAGAUAUUGCUGGCAGUGGGAGCGGAAGAUUCGGUAGGCAGCGGGGUACUGCGGGCGAGCAGGGUUUUUGUUAAUACCAGUAUGUAUGUUAUCCUUGAUACGACGGUGUGGUCGAGAUUCAUCCGCCCAAAGUACACUGUAUAUGCAUAGAGCUGUAACAAUACAUACCUUCUCCUUGAAAGUCGCCGCGAUCCCCUUCCCCCAAGACCCCUGGCAGUUACACGCGUCUAUUCGUCAGGAGUCAGUAGGGGGCCUAGCACGGCAGAGAAGGGAGAAUGAGGAUAAAAGGAUGAAUAAUUAUACAUACGGAUUAAAGCUGCACCCUCCGGUGCAUCGAAGAGAUCACCUUGGAUUUCAGUUAUGACACUCAUUUCUUAUCUUUCUUUCUUUUUCUUUUUUUAAAAAAAUAUAUUUAUUUUGGCCAGCGUUUGGUUGUUUUGAUUGCGCGGUUUCUCAACGUGUUUAACAGCAAGUGAAAUAGGUAGAUGGAUACAGGAUCGAUGAAGCUAUUUGAAAUGGGGAAAGGUGACUGACUGACUUGUAAAAGAAAGAAAGAAGUAGUGCAAGUGGUGUCAAAAACAAAAAAUAAGUUUAAAAAAAAACAUUUAUAUAUCAACCGAAUGAUGCCAGUGUUGGAAGAGCUUGACUCAUUCAUGCCCAUUGCUACUAGAUUAACUCAGCGCUCGGCGUUGAGAAGUGCACAGCACCAGGUAUAGAUAACUGUGUCUGGGAUAUGACAUAUUAACUAGGCAAGGUAAGGUAAAAAAAGAA